rnacentral:rRNA from 1 species
UAAGGAAUAUUGGACAAUGGGCGCAAGCCUGAUCCAGCCAUGCCGCGUGCAGGAUGAAAGUGCUCAGCACUGUAAACUGCUUUUGUUUGGGAAAAAAUCCCUGGUUUCUACCGGGGUUGAUUGUACCAAAAGAAUAAGGGACGGCUAACUUCGUGCCAGCAGCCGCGGUAAUACGAAGGUCCCAAGCGUUAUCCGGAUUUAUUGGGUUUAAAGGGUGCGUAGGCGGGUUAUUAAGUCAGUGGUGAAAGCUCCAUGCCUAACAUGGAAAUUGUCAUUGAUACUGAUGAUCUUGAGUACAGUUGAAGUGGGCGGAAUGUGUCAUGUAGCGGUGAAAUGCUUAGAUAUGACACAGAACACCGAUUGCGUAGGCAGCUCACUAAACUGUAACUGACGCUGAGGCACGAAAGCGUGGGGAGCGAACAG